AUUGAACGCUGGCGGCAGGCCUAACACAUGCAAGUCGAACGAGUAGCGGAGGGGGGAGCAAAGGCGGGGAAAAUGCCUGAGGGAGGGGGAUAACAACUGGAAACGGUAGCUAGUACCGGAUACAAUGGGAGGGGCACAGAUGGGAUUAGCUAGUAGGGGAGGUAACGGCUCACCGAGGGGACGAUCCCUAGCUGGUUUGAGAGGAUGACCGGCCACAUUGGAACUGAGACACGGUCCAGACUCCUACGGGAGGCAGCAGUGGGGAAUCUUCCACAAUGGGCGAAAGCCUGAUGGAGCCAUGCCGCGUGUGUGAAGAAGGCCUUCGGGUUGUAAAGUUCUUUCAUCGAGGAAGCGUUACUCGCACAGGAAGCCCCGGCUAACUCCGUGCCAGCAGCCGCGGUAAUUC
rnacentral:rRNA from 1 species